rnacentral:piRNA from 1 species
UGAAGGCCAUCACCUGGAUAGAGGUAUAGG